rnacentral:rRNA from 1 species
GGUUAAGCGACUAAGCGUACACGGUGGAUGCCCUGGCAGUCAGAGGCGAUGAAGGACGUGCUAAUCUGCGAUAAGCGUCGGUAAGGUGAUAUGAACCGUUAUAACCGGCGAUUUCCGAAUGGGGAAACCCAGUGUGUUUCGACACACUAUCAUUAACUGAAUCCAUAGGUUAAUGAGGCGAACCGGGGGAACUGAAACAUCUAAGUACCCCGAGGAAAAGAAAUCAACCGAGAUUCUCCCAGUAGCGGCGAGCGAACGGGGAGCAGCCCAGAGCCUGAAUCAGUGUGUGUGUUAGUGGAAGCGUCUGGAAAGGCGCGCGAUACAGGGUGACAGCCCCGUACACAAAAAUGCACAUGCUGUGAGCUCGAUGAGUAGGGCGGGACACGUGGUAUCCUGUCUGAAUAUGGGGGGACCAUCCUCCAAGGCUAAAUACUCCUGACUGACCGAUAGUGAACCAGUACCGUGAGGGAAAGGCGAAAAGAACCCCGGCGAGGGGAGUGAAAAAGAACCUGAAACCGUGUACGUACAAGCAGUGGGAGCACGCUUAGGCGUGUGACUGCGUACCUUUUGUAUAAUGGGUCAGCGACUUAUAUUCUGUAGCAAGGUUAACCGAAUAGGGGAGCCGAAGGGAAACCGAGUCUUAACUGGGCGUUAAGUUGCAGGGUAUAGACCCGAAACCCGGUGAUCUAGCCAUGGGCAGGUUGAAGGUUGGGUAACACUAACUGGAGGACCGAACCGACUAAUGUUGAAAAAUUAGCGGAUGACUUGUGGCUGGGGGUGAAAGGCCAAUCAAACCGGGAGAUAGCUGGUUCUCCCCGAAAGCUAUUUAGGUAGCGCCUCGUGAAUUCAUCUCCGGGGGUAGAGCACUGUUUCGGCAAGGGGGUCAUCCCGACUUACCAACCCGAUGCAAACUGCGAAUACCGGAGAAUGUUAUCACGGGAGACACACGGCGGGUGCUAACGUCCGUCGUGAAGAGGGAAACAACCCAGACCGCCAGCUAAGGUCCCAAAGUCAUGGUUAAGUGGGAAACGAUGUGGGAAGGCCCAGACAGCCAGGAUGUUGGCUUAGAAGCAGCCAUCAUUUAAAGAAAGCGUAAUAGCUCACUGGUCGAGUCGGCCUGCGCGGAAGAUGUAACGGGGCUAAACCAUGCACCGAAGCUGCGGCAGCGACACUAUGUGUUGUUGGGUAGGGGAGCGUUCUGUAAGCCUGUGAAGGUGUGCUGUGAGGCAUGCUGGAGGUAUCAGAAGUGCGAAUGCUGACAUAAGUAACGAUAAAGCGGGUGAAAAGCCCGCUCGCCGGAAGACCAAGGGUUCCUGUCCAACGUUAAUCGGGGCAGGGUGAGUCGACCCCUAAGGCGAGGCCGAAAGGCGUAGUCGAUGGGAAACAGGUUAAUAUUCCUGUACUUGGUGUUACUGCGAAGGGGGGACGGAGAAGGCUAUGUUGGCCGGGCGACGGUUGUCCCGGUUUAAGCGUGUAGGCUGGUUUUCCAGGCAAAUCCGGAAAAUCAAGGCUGAGGCGUGAUGACGAGGCACUACGGUGCUGAAGCAACAAAUGCCCUGCUUCCAGGAAAAGCCUCUAAGCAUCAGGUAACAUCAAAUCGUACCCCAAACCGACACAGGUGGUCAGGUAGAGAAUACCAAGGCGCUUGAGAGAACUCGGGUGAAGGAACUAGGCAAAAUGGUGCCGUAACUUCGGGAGAAGGCACGCUGAUAUGUAGGUGAAGCGACUCGCGGGUGGAGCUGAAAUCAGUCGAAGAUACCAGCUGGCUGCAACUGUUUAUUAAAAACACAGCACUGUGCAAACACGAAAGUGGACGUAUACGGUGUGACGCCUGCCCGGUGCCGGAAGGUUAAUUGAUGGGGUUAGCGGUAACGCGAAGCUCUUGAUCGAAGCCCCGGUAAACGGCGGCCGUAACUAUAACGGUCCUAAGGUAGCGAAAUUCCUUGUCGGGUAAGUUCCGACCUGCACGAAUGGCGUAAUGAUGGCCAGGCUGUCUCCACCCGAGACUCAGUGAAAUUGAACUCGCUGUGAAGAUGCAGUGUACCCGCGGCAAGACGGAAAGACCCCGUGAACCUUUACUAUAGCUUGACACUGAACAUUGAGCCUUGAUGUGUAGGAUAGGUGGGAGGCUUUGAAGUGUGGACGCCAGUCUGCAUGGAGCCGACCUUGAAAUACCACCCUUUAAUGUUUGAUGUUCUAACGUUGACCCGUAAUCCGGGUUGCGGACAGUGUCUGGUGGGUAGUUUGACUGGGGCGGUCUCCUCCUAAAGAGUAACGGAGGAGCACGAAGGUUGGCUAAUCCUGGUCGGACAUCAGGAGGUUAGUGCAAUGGCAUAAGCCAGCUUGACUGCGAGCGUGACGGCGCGAGCAGGUGCGAAAGCAGGUCAUAGUGAUCCGGUGGUUCUGAAUGGAAGGGCCAUCGCUCAACGGAUAAAAGGUACUCCGGGGAUAACAGGCUGAUACCGCCCAAGAGUUCAUAUCGACGGCGGUGUUUGGCACCUCGAUGUCGGCUCAUCACAUCCUGGGGCUGAAGUAGGUCCCAAGGGUAUGGCUGUUCGCCAUUUAAAGUGGUACGCGAGCUGGGUUUAGAACGUCGUGAGACAGUUCGGUCCCUAUCUGCCGUGGGCGCUGGAGAACUGAGGGGGGCUGCUCCUAGUACGAGAGGACCGGAGUGGACGCAUCACUGGUGUUCGGGUUGUCAUGCCAAUGGCACUGCCCGGUAGCUAAAUGCGGAAGAGAUAAGUGCUGAAAGCAUCUAAGCACGAAACUUGCCCCGAGAUGAGUUCUCCCUGACUCCUUGAGAGUCCUGAAGGAACGUUGAAGACGACGACGUUGAUAGGCCGGGUGUGUAAGCGCAGCGAUGCGUUGAGCUAACCGGUACUAAUGAACCGUGAGGCUUAACCUU